ACCUGGGUGGCUCAGUUGGUUGAGCAUCUGACUUCAGCUCGGGUCACGAUCUCACAGUCCGUGAGUUCGAGCCCCACAUCAGGCU
rnacentral:tRNA from 1 species